rnacentral:tRNA from 1 species
GUUAAUGUAGCUUAACAAUAAAGCAAAGCACUGAAAAUGCUUAGAUGAGUUUCCACACUCCAUAAACA